rnacentral:rRNA from 1 species
UACGGGGGGAGCAAGCGUUGUUCGGAUUUACUGGGCGUAAAGGGCGCGUAGGCGGUCAGCACAAGUCAGUUGUGAAAUCUCCGGGCUUAACUCGGAAAGGUCAACUGAUACUGUGCGACUAGAGUGCGGAAGGGGCAACUGGAAUUUACGGUGUAGCGGUGAAAUGCGUAGAUAUCGUAAGGAAGACCAGUGGCGAAGGCGGGUCUCUGGACAGUUCCUGACGCUGAGGCACGAAGGCCAGGGGAGCAAACGGG